UCCUGACCGUGCAAAGGUAGCAUAAUAAUUUGCCCGUUAAUUGCGGGCUGGUAUGAACGGGCUCACGAAAUAUACUCUGUCUCUACUAACUCAAAUUAAACUAACUUCUAGAUGAAGAGGUCUAAAUAAAAUUGAAGGACAAGAAGACCCUAUAGAGCUUUACUCUAAUAAUACUUACUAUUAUACGUGUUCGGUUGGGGCGACCAGGGAAUAAAAAUCCUCCCUAAGAAAAAAGAAAAAUACUUCAAAGCUAUGACCCUAAUAAGAUCAAAAGAGCAAGCUACCUUAGGGAUAACAGGCUAAUCUUCCUAAAGAGACCUUAUUAAUAGGAGGGAUUGGCACCUCGAUGUUGGCUUAGGAGAUCCUU
rnacentral:rRNA from 1 species